rnacentral:rRNA from 1 species
UAAUACGUGAUAAGCCCACGGACUCUUCGGAGUUUGCGGGAAAAGGAGGGGACUUUCGGGCCUUCCGACAUCAGAUGAGUCCGCGUCCCAUUAGCUAGUUGGUGGGGUAAUGGCCCACCAAGGCAAAGAUGAGUAGCUGGUCUGAGAGGAUGAUCAGCCACACUGGGACUGAGACACGGUCCAGACUCCUACGGGAGGCAGCAGUGGGGAAUUUUGCGCAAUGGGGGAAACCCUGACGCAGCAACGCCGCGUGAGUGAUGAAGGCCUUCGGGUCGUAAAGCUCUGUCAGAGGGGAAGAAGUGAUAGUGUGCUAAUACCACAUUAUCUUGACGGUACCCUCAAAGGAAGCACCGGCUAACUCCGUGCCAGCAGCCGCGGUAAUACGGAGGGUGCAAGCGUUGUUCGGAUUUAUUGGGCGUAAAGCGCGUGUAGGCGGUCUUUUAAGUCUGAUGUGAAAGCCCCGGGCUCAACCCGGGAAGUGCAUUGGAAACUGGGAGACUUGAAUACGGGAGAGGGUAGUGGAAUUCCUAGUGUAGGAGUGAAAUCCGUAGAUAUUAGGAGGAACACCGGUGGCGAAGGCGGCUACCUGGACCGAUAUUGACGCUGAGACGCGAAAGCGUGGGGAGCAAACAGGAUUAGAUACCCUGGUAGUCCACGCCGUAAACGAUGAGUACUAGGUGUCGCGGGUA